CUAGUGAAUAAGGGGUGGGCAAGUUCUGGUGUCAGCCGCCGCGGUAAAACCAGCACCUCAAGUGGUCAGGAUGACUAUUGGGCCUAAAGCAUCCGUAGCCGGCUCUGUAAGUUUUCGGUUAAAUCUGUACGCUCAACGUACAGGCUGCCGGGAAUACUGCAGAGCUAGGGAGUGGGAGAGGUAGACGGUACUCGGUAGGAAGGGGUAAGAUCCUUUGAUCUAUUGAUGACCACCUGUGGCGAAGGCGGUCUACCAGAACACGUCCGACGGUGAGGGAUGAAAGCUGGGGGAGCAAACCGGAUUAGAUACCCGGGUAGUCCCAGCUGUAAACUAUGCAAACUCAGUGAUGCAUUGGCUUGUGGCCAAUGCAGUGCUGCAGGGAAGCCGUUAAGUUUGCCGCCUGGGAAGUACGUACGCAAGUAUGAAACUUAAAGGAAUUGGCGGGGGAGCACCACAAGGG
rnacentral:rRNA from 1 species